rnacentral:lncRNA from 1 species
CCUGAAAAUAGGAUAUAAAGGGCAAUAAUUAAGUAAUUUAAUCAUCCAUUUAAAUCAAAUUCAUAUUUAAUUGAAAGAGUUAUUAGUAAAAACAAAGGAACAUAGUGCUAUAUGAAGGCCUACACUAUCGUGCUCUUUGAUUAUUACAUAAUACGUCAAAUAUGUAGCCAAAUAACGUUAAAUCAUAUAUAAAUAAAGAAAACUAGAAAAGUUUUAGUGCUAAUGAAAUCAUCAUUGUAGACAUAGUGUGAUAUUACAACUGUCAUCAGGAUAACAGGAAUGUAUUCCCGACACGUGAAUGUUCGCCCAUGUAAGUUCUGUUAUGAACGAGUCAUGCCGAGAGAUCAGAAAGGAAACUAUGAAUGCAAAACGUGUAACAAAGUAUCGCAUUUCAAAUGUCUUAUUCAUUCUCGAGAUAAAUCGUGCUGCGACGACAACGACAAUCGCCGAUCUUUGGAAUGGCAAUGAGGACGCUCUUUUUGUCAAUAUAUAUGUCUAAUUGAUGUGGCAUACACCAAAGUAAAUAAAUAAAAUGAGAGGAGAGUCAAAAAUUAAUAUUAAACUAUUUUGAUUUAAUGAAUAUUUAUAUGUUCUUAUAUAUCUUUCCAUCCAGUGACGUGUAGGUUGAAUUACGUCACUGGACAACUCCCCUGUCGGCAAAAAAUAUUUAUUAACAAAUAAUAUCUCUUUUCUGAUAUUUUUACGCCUACUUAAUAAUUUUAUUAAUUAUUCCUAUAUUAAUAUUCGUGUACGUUUCAAAAAUGCCUGGAUAUGAUGUUGAGGGAGAGAUCAAUAAUUUGGUUGGGUUCAUUAAGAGUUUAGGCUCCAAAAGUGAGGGUGGGGAUGGAAAAAUUGAAGUGAAAUUUAAAACCUUGUUUGAGGAUGAUGAAGUAAGCAACAGUCUGGAAUCUCUUGCCGGGACUUUAAAAGCCGCAAAGAAGAAAAAAGUCGUCUCUUAUGAAUCCGAGUUACUCCUUCAAGGGGUUAGCGAUGACGUUGUUAUAACUCUACUAUGAUCUUCAUUUCUAAUCCAUUAUUGUUGCUUCCCAUCUAUUUCUUAUUUCAUAAUUUAUAAUAUUAUUUUAGUAACUCCAGUUAAAAGAAGCAAAGCCUGACUACCAGGAGCUCAUCGUCUCAUUUCAUUCUCUUAUGUGAUAUAAUACUAAUUACCUCAUGUUGUGAUUUGGAAUGCCCGCUACGAAGAGACAAAACAUUUGAUACUGCCCAAUUUGUGUUGCAUAGCACUUGUGAUAUUCAGAACACAAAUACGUUUCUCGUACAGGAUGAAGAACUUUGGAAUGCGAAACUCUCGAUGAAUGGGGAUCUACAUGGAAAACACAAUAUCAUUUAUACAUAUUUCUAACAAAUGAUGAAUCUUCGUUUUGUACAAUAAUAACUAUUUCUUAAUAUUAAUAUUUAAUGAGUAACGAUGUUAUAUGUAUACUUUGUAUGUUUGUCGUACGUAUUCUUGCUUGGUAAUAAAAAAUACUUACCUCCA